UAUAACUAUGAUCUUUGUAUGGUAUUUUGUUACUUGUUUGAUAAAGCGUAACCAUGAUAAAAAUAUUUGGCAAAGAAAAAAAAAGUGCAAUCUCUGCAAUUUUAUAUCACGAACACUUGCAACCAGAAGCAUGAGGCCUUGGUCUAUGAACGUAGUCCAGCCAUAGUUAGCUUGAACCUUAGCCUCUUUCUCUUCACCAUCCCGUCACUCUCAGCCUCUCAUCAUCCAACUCCAGAAGCUCCCAUCUCUCCUGCCUGAACCAAAGGUUCAUUGCAACCUGAGAACCUGGUAGAGAACUCACUUUCCAUGC
rnacentral:lncRNA from 1 species